rnacentral:rRNA from 1 species
GGGAGGCAGCAGUGGGGAAUAUUGCGCAAUGGGCGAAAGCCCGAUGCAGCGACGCCGCGUGAGGGAUGAAGGCCUUCGGGUCGUAAACCUCUUUCGGCAGGGACGGAGCGAUCAGUGACGGUACCUGCAGAAGAAGCCCCGGCUAACUACGUGCCAGCAGCCGCGGUAAGACGUAGGGGGCGAGCGUUGUCCGGAUUUAUUGGGCGUAAAGCGUGCGUAGGCGGCUGCGCAAGUCGGGUGUGAAACCCCGGGGCUCAACCCCGGAACUGCAUCCGAUACUGCGUGGCUAGAGGUAGGUAGGGGAGAUCGGAAUUCCUGGUGUAGCGGUGAAAUGCGCAGAUAUCAGGAGGAACACCGGUGGCGAAGGCGGAUCUCUGGGCCUUACCUGACGCUCAGGCACGAAAGCUAGGGGAGCGAACAGGAUUAGAUACCCUGGUAGUCCACGCCGUAAACGAUGGGUGCUAGGUGUGGGCGGUGUCGACUCCGUCCGUGCCGAAGCUAACGCAUUAAGCACCCCGCCUGGGGAGUACGGCCGCAAGGCUAAAACUCAAAGGAAUUGACGGA